ensembl:misc_RNA
UUCCUUUUACCGUCAACCCGGAGCCCCACGGCGGCUAAUACAAGAGGCCAAAAAUGUUUGGAGGAAGAAAAACAAAGGCAGGAAGUGGCGGCGGCCUGACGGUGCGUGUGUGUCUGUGGAGAAGGGAGAGAAGGGAGGGAACCGGUUCAAUCUCUUCUUGUUUUUCCUAACUUCAAGGUCCAGGCAG